rnacentral:rRNA from 1 species
UACGUAGGCAGCAAGCGUUGUCCGGAAUUAUUGGGCGUAAAGAGCUCGUAGGCGGCUUGUCGCGUCGGAUGUGAAAGCCCGGGGCUUAACUCCGGGUCUGCAUUCGAUACGGGCAGGCUAGAGUUCGGUAGGGGAGAUCGGAAUUCCUGGUGUAGCGGUGAAAUGCGCAGAUAUCAGGAGGAACACCGGUGGCGAAGGCGGAUCUCUGGGCCGAUACUGACGCUGAGGAGCGAAAGCGUGGGGAGCGAACAGG